AACGAACGCUGGCGGCAGGCCUAACACAUGCAAGUCGAACGCUGUAGCAGUACAGAGUGGCAGACGGGUGAGUAACGCGUGGGAACGUGCCUUUCGGUUCGGAAUAACUCAGGGAAACUUGAGCUAAUACCGGAUACGCCCUUCGGGGGAAAGAUUUAUUGCCGAAAGAUCGGCCCGCGUCCGAUUAGCUAGUUGGUGUGGUAAUGGCGCACCAAGGCGACGAUCGGUAGCUGGUCUGAGAGGAUGAUCAGCCACACUGGGACUGAGACACGGCCCAGACUCCUACGGGAGGCAGCAGUGGGGAAUAUUGGACAAUGGGCGCAAGCCUGAUCCAGCCAUGCCGCGUGAGUGAUGAAGGCCCUAGGGUUGUAAAGCUCUUUCGCCAGGGACGAUAAUGACGGUACCUGGAUAAGAAGCCCCGGCUAACUUCGUGCCAGCAGCCGCCGCCGUAA
rnacentral:rRNA from 1 species